rnacentral:lncRNA from 1 species
CCUUUGUCCCACAGUUAUGCAUCUUGAAAUUGAUUCUAAGGAAGGGAUUAGGACUUAUAAACAGAUGUAGGAAGGUAUAACUGGGAAGACAGCCCCCUACAUUACAGGCCUUGCUAUGCAGGCCAGGCUGGACUGCUUCCUGGGCUCCAAGAUCGCAGUUGUAUAUAGUCAUGUCUGAAGAGGGUAUCAGAUCCUCUGAAACUAGAGUUGUAGAUGGUGGUGAGCUGCCUUGUGGGUGCUGGGAAUCAAACCCCGGGUCCCAGUGAGAUAAAAGUUCUCUAGGCAGCAGGAGGGGGACCAGGCUGGGGGGAGCAGAUGUGGACUUCUGCUCCGUAAGGAAGAGAGAGGUAGGCCCUGACCCUGAUGACAUCAGGCUGAAACUGUGAUUCCUGCUGCUCCUUAGAAGACACUGUUUUCUUAUUUUGCACAAGGGAACAGGACUUUUAUUAGCUGUGGCUCAGGCAUUGUGCCAACAUGGGAACUAGUCCUUGGUAUGCGCAGUCCUAACUGAUCUUAGAUAAUUGUGGCAGACAUGGAAUCACCCUCAGGUUUGUAAACUUAAAAAAAGUCAGGAGAAUCUACCCUUCUUUCCAUGCCCUUUUGUUUUCAGUGCUGGGCUAAAACCCAGGGUCUAAAGCAUGCUAAACCUGUGCUCUACCAGUAAGCUAUACCCUCAGCUCUAGAACCCCUUUUUAUCUUGGUUAGCGCAGAACUCCUCAAAUAUGGAACCAUAAUGCUCAGAGCAUGCAGUGCACACCCUCACCCAGGCCAGGGAUUUCCUGACUUAAGAGGAAAUUAUCAUUAUUAUGUGUAUGUUUGUAACGGGGGUGGGGGGUCAUGUGCACCAUGGUGUAAACGUGGAGGUUAGAGGAUAACUUUUGGGAGUUAACUCUACCGCCAUCUUGGGUUCCAGGGAUCAAAUUUAGAUCAUCAGGCUUGUGCAGCAAGUAUCUUUACCCACUGAACCAUGUCACUGGCCCAAGUUCCUGAUUUCUAAAUUAAAUGUGCAUGCAUGUAUGUAAUGUGCGGGGCACAUGUGGGGG